rnacentral:piRNA from 1 species
UAAGUGCUUCUGGACCAUUGAGUUU